rnacentral:rRNA from 1 species
GACGAACGCUGGCGGCGUGCUUAGCACAUGCAAGUCGAACGGAAAGGCCCUGCUUUUGUGGGGUGCUCGAGUGGCGAACGGGUGAGUAACACGUGAGUAACCUGCCCUUGACUUUGGGAUAACUUCAGGAAACUGGGGCUAAUACCGGAUAGGAGCUCCUGCUGCAUGGUGGGGGUUGGAAAGUUUCGGCGGUUGGGGAUGGACUCGCGGCUUAUCAGCUUGUUGGUGGGGUAGUGGCUUACCAAGGCUUUGACGGGUAGCCGGCCUGAGGGGGUGACCGGCCACGUGGGGACGGAGAGACGCCCAAGACUCCAGGGGGGGGCAGCGGUGGGAAAUAUUGCGAAGUGGGGGGAGGCCGGAUGCAGCAGCGCCGGGGGGGGGAUGCCGGCCGUGGGGUUGAAACCCGCUUUCGCCUGUGACGAAGGGGGAGGGAGGUAAGGGGAUAAGAAACCCCCGGCAAACAACGGC